UACGUAGGGUGCAAGCGUUGUCCGGAAUUAUUGGGCGUAAAGAGCUCGUAGGCGGUGUGUCGCGUCUGCUGUGAAAACUCGGGGCUUAACUCCGGGCCUGCAGUGGGUACGGGCAGACUAGAGUGCGGUAGGGGAGACUGGAAUUCCUGGUGUAGCGGUGAAAUGCGCAGAUAUCAGGAGGAACACCGGUGGCGAAGGCGGGUCUCUGGCCGUAACUGACGCUGAGGAGCGAAAGCGUGGGGAGCGAACAGG
rnacentral:rRNA from 1 species